rnacentral:rRNA from 1 species
UACGGGGGGAGCAAGCGUUGUUCGGAUUCACUGGGCGUAAAGGGCGCGUAGGCGGUCAGCACAAGUCAGUUGUGAAAUCUCCGGGCUUAACCCGGAAAGGUCAACUGAUACUGUGCGACUAGAGUGCGGAAGGGGCAACUGGAAUUCUCGGUGUAGCGGUGAAAUGCGUAGAUAUCGAGAGGAACACCUGCGGCGAAGGCGGGUUGCUGGGCCGACACUGAAGCUGAUGCGCGAAAGCCAGGGGAGCGAACGGG